rnacentral:rRNA from 1 species
AUUGAACGCUGGCGGCAUGCCUUACACAUGCAAGUCGAACGGCAGCACGGGUGCUUGCACCUGGUGGCGAGUGGCGAACGGGUGAGUAAUACAUCGGAACAUGUCCUGUAGUGGGGGAUAGCCCGGCGAAAGCCGGAUUAAUACCGCAUACGAUCUACGGAUGAAAGCGGGGGACCUUCGGGCCUCGCGCUAUCGGGUUGGCCGAUGGCUGAUUAGCUAGUUGGUGGGGUAAAGGCCUACCAAGGCGACGAUCAGUAGCUGGUCUGAGAGGACGACCAGCCACACUGGAACUGAGACACGGCCCAGACUCCUACGGGAGGCAGCAGUGGGGAAUUUUGGACAAUGGGCGGAAGCCUGAUCCAGCAAUGCCGCGUGUGUGAAGAAGGCCUUCGGGUUGUAAAGCACUUUUGUCCGGAAAGAAAUCCUUGGCCCUAAUACGGUCGGGGGAUGACGGUACCGGAAGAAUAAGCACCGGCUAACUACGUG